UACGAAGGGUGCAAACGUUGCUCGGAAUUAUUGGGCGUAAAGCGCACGUAGGCGGCUUUGCAAGUCCGAUGUGAAAUCCCUCGGCUUAACCAAGGAAGUGCAUCGGAAACUGCAGAGCUUGAGUACUUAAGAGGAUCGCGGAAUUCCCGGUGUAGAGGUGAAAUUGCGUAGAGAGUGAGAUGGACGGAAGACAGCCGGAAGUGG
rnacentral:rRNA from 1 species